rnacentral:rRNA from 1 species
UACGUAGGUGACAAGCGUUGUCCGGAUUUACUGGGCGUAAAGAGCGCGCAGGCGGUCGAUCAAGUCGAGUGUGAAAGCCCCCGGCUCAACUGGGGAGGGUCAUUCGAUACUGAUCGACUCGAAGGCAGGAGAGGGUAGUGGAAUUCCCGGUGUAGUGGUGAAAUGCGUAGAUAUCGGGAGGAACACCGGUGGCGAAGGCGGCGAUCUGGGUCGAUACUGACGCUGAGGUGCGAAAGCGUGGGGAGCAAACAGG